GAUCUAAUGUGAACGAAAUUUAAUUUUAAAUUCCUAUGUAAAUAUAACCUAGAUUUCAAGCCUUGGUUGUUUCUUAGGCUGUAUGCUGCUUGCAAAAAAUGAUUCCAGAUUUGUGGGAAGAAUGAUGAUAUAACCCUGUGCAACUACCUGAGCAGUGGAAUUGGUACAAGAGCUUUGAAGAGAAGUAAAAGUUUUCCCUGUUUCCUAAAUAGAUGAAACACAUAGUUUCACUUUGGAAAUGGCAGACACGAGAUAUCAUGUAAUAAUGCACUGGCCAAUGAGAAGCCAGUCCUGAAUAUAUGCACAUUUUGUGAAUCUCCACUUGGAAGUGUCUGAAGAUGCAAAAUGGAAAGAGGACUAGAUCCCCACUUCAGGGCAUUUAAAGGAUAUGGAAAUACCUUUCUCUGGUAGAAUUAAAGGGAGGAAACUCAUUGGACAAGCAAGGUUUUAAAUAACUAAACCCUAAGAACAGAGCUCAGUUUGUGAGAGUGUAGACCAAAGCACAUUGUGGAAGAGACUUUUGGGGCAAUGGAGAUGUAGAGGAUAUUUCUUCCCCUCCUCCAUCUUUCCCACUUUGGCCAUGUAGUUUUGAGGGGAGCUAUUCAACCUAUUCAAAC
rnacentral:lncRNA from 1 species